AAAAUCUGCCCAGGCCCAACAGUCCAAUUACAAAAAAUAAACCCAAACAAUUACAGCCCAAAUAAAUCAAAAAAACCCUAGCCCACAAAACUUAAAAGCUUUUCAGCCGUCAAAGGAAACCCUAAGCCCCAGCGCCGCAUGCCCAGGCUCCAGCAAUGCGCGCCGUUCCACCUCCUCGCACGCCGCCACCGCCCAAGGCUCGCCUACCACCGGU
rnacentral:lncRNA from 1 species